UCUUGGCAGGGCCAGGGAGUGCCAAAUGAUCCUCAGGUUUGUUACUAAGAGUCGUCCUGCAAAAAACGGUGGACAUUAUGAGUCAUUAAGUCUCUGAUCUGCCAAACACUAGUUGCCGAGAAGGUGUGAACCUCCAAGACAGCUACCUCGAUCUCCGUUGUUUCCUUUGGUGUCUUCUAUGGAGUCCAGGCAAUCUAUCAGCACCUCUCCUGGACGAGUUUUCAUCUGCCUGUGAACAGCGACACAUUUAUUGACUGAAAGCCUCCAUACCAAAACUGUGCACAGGCAUUGGCCUGCUUGUCAUAGUACCAGCGGAUGCUAUAGUCUCGGCAGUUGCCUUGGUCCAGGCUGAAGUUACAGCGGGGAUCGAGAAGAGGGGCUUUGGAAGAAGAAAUGUGUCCCAGUAAGACGUAACAGUGUGACAGUGAGCCAGCAUGAACAAUGUCAAGACCCUGAAACUGAAGGAGCUAAACAGAAUCCAGCCCGUGCCAUGUCAAAAUGUUCUCUGUAAUAAAAGUCAAUUCAGCAGGAGUGCAACACUCACCUUCAGGAAGGACUGGACUCAACACUGGCUGCAGCUGAUUAGAGUUUAAGGAUGAAACUGAACCCUGUGUGGACGAAGCUGUUGCAGAUGAGGAUGAAGAUGAAGAAGAUAGUGAAGACGAUAAGACUGCAUCAUUGGAGACAGAGCUUUCUCUCACAGGCGAUAACGAUGUUGCUUUGUUAACUAUAGCCACAUUGCUACUGCCCUGCACAUGGGCUCUGAUGUCUAAAUCUUCACCAUCAUCAUCGUCCACCACCUAGAAUAUAGAAUAGAAGAUGAAAACAUACAAAUUAAUCAGUGAGAUUAGAGUAGAGAAGUUAGUAUAUUUUAAGUAAAACAACAUAGAAGUCUUUUCAGAAAAGACCUGAACAGGGAGAGGAUCAGCACUGAUGGGCAGUGUGAAAGUGUCUCCACGGCCUCGGCUGUUGGUGCGUCGUUGAUUUUGGAUCUCCUCUUGGUAAUUGUAACUGUUCCCGGUGUUCCCAUAUCCAUUGUUUCCAUAAUCAUAAGAAUGACCAUUAUUACCAUAGCCAUUAUAUCCAUUGGUAUUCUCUCCAUGUCCAUUGUUUCCAUUAAUACCAUGCCGAUGCCCACUGUUGCCGUUCCAGUGUCCAUUUGUGAUGCGAUUGUAAAUAAGGGCACCAUUUUCAUCUUCACAGAACUGACUGACGAGUUUAGACUCCAGUGCUGAAAAAAGAAAUCAAGAAACCAGUUAAUCUAGGCACUUUACAGCCUGUCAGCUGACAACGAUUAACUAUAUAUUUUAAUGAACACACUGCUGAAGGGAUGAUAUUUACAACAUUAGACUGUGAUUAUAACCUGGUAGUGUGUUGAAAUCAUCAAUAAGGUACAUGUGUUCACUGUCGGGGUCAGAGGCAAUGAGGUUGAGUUCUCGCAGGAACUCAGCCUGCGUAGGAUCAGACGAAUUGACAAUCCCCAGGGCGUACAUCUCAAUGUUUGCAGCAUGAGCCUCCCUCACAGCUAUGUCAAGUUUGACAGGCUCCCGUUUGUCAGUCUGACCAUCAGUGAUGACAAUGGCUACUUUUCUGACUCCAGGCCGAGCACUAAAGAAAGCCUCCUGAGUCGCCUUUCUGAUUGCAGUGCCAGUAUAGGUGCCCUCCC